GGGCUCAAGCUUGCUUUAAAGUGAGUAGUGAAAUUUAAUGCUGUCUGAUUUAGUAGUUUGUUUAUCUACAGAGCCUUGUUUGUUUUUCACACAGGGUUUCCUGGAUUUGUUUCCUGCUUUUCAGCAGUGGAUUUUGUUUCCCUGUAACAAUAAAAGGGCAAACUGGUCCAGAUGUAACUACCAGUGCUAGAAGUGCUAGAAGUGCUGGCACUAACCCUGGACGCGAUGGGUCUGCUGGAGGAGAGGCUGGUUCUGGCCCCGGACGCGAUGGCUCAGCUGGAGGAGAGGCUGGUUCUGGCCCCGGACGCGAUGGCUCAGCUGGAGGAGAGGCUGGUUCUGGCCCCGGACGCGAUGGCUCAGCUGGAGGAGAGGCUGGUUCCGGCCCCGGACGCGAUGGCUCAGCUGGAGGAGAGGCUGGUUCCGGCCCCGGACGCGAUGGCUCAGCUGGAGGAGAGGCUGGUUCCGGCCCCGGACGCGAUGGCUCAGCUGGAGGAGAGGCUGGUUCCGGCCCCGGGCGCGAUGGCUCAGCUGGAGGAGAGGCUGGUUCCGGCCCCGGGCGCGAUGGCUCAGCUGGAGGAGAGGCUGGUUCCGGCCCCGGGCGCGAUGGCUCUGCUGGAGGAGAGGCUGGUUCCGGCCCCGGGCGCGAUGGCUCUGCUGGAGGAGAGGCUGGUUCCGGCCCCGGGCGCGAUGGCUCUGCUGGAGGAGAGGCUGGUUCCGGCCCCGGGCGCGAUGGCUCUGCUGGAGGAGAGGCUGGUUCCGGCCCCGGGCGCGAUGGCUCUGCUGGAGGAGAGGCUGGUUCCGGCCCCGGGCGCGAUGGCUCUGCUGGAGGAGAGGCUGGUUCCGGGCGCGAUGGCUCUGCUGGAGGAGAGGCUGGUUCUGGACCUAAUGGUUCUACUGGAGGAGAACUUUAUUCUGGCCCUGCUGGAGGGGAAGUUAGCUGUUGUAGCUCUGCAGGAGGCUGGUCCUUUGGCCCUGGCAGCUCCAAUGGAGGUCAUGUUGGUCCUGGCUCUCGAUCUGAUGGCUCCACUGCGGGAGGGGUUGGCCCUGGCAGUUCUGCAGGAAGUUGGUCCUUUGGCCCUGGGAGCUCCACUGGAGGAGGAGUUGGCCCUGGCAGCUCUGCAGGAAGUUGGUCCUUUGGCCCUGGGAGCUCCACUGGAGGAGGAGUUGGCCCUGGCAGCUCUGCAGGUGGCUGGUCCUUUGGCCCUGGGAGCUCCACUGGAGGAGGAGUUGGCCCUGGCAGCUCUGCAGGUGGCUGGUCCUUUGGCCCUGGGAGCGCCACUGGAGGAGGGGUUGGCCCUAGCAGCUCUCCAGGAGGUUGGUCCUCUGCUUUUGGUGUCCCCGUUAGAGGGGUUCGCCCAACAUGGGCUAAUGGUUAUUCAUUCCUUGGUGGUGUUCCUUAUCAAAAUUAUCCUGCAGUGAGUUCUUCUUUCCUUUACCACCCAUGGAACUGGAUGCCACCACGUCCCUUCCCUGACUUCAAUGCCUGGUCUACUUAUGAGGUGCCGCUAGGUAUGGUUGCGCUGCCCCCUCAGGUACCUUCAUUGCCUUCGUCCCAUCUUGUCCAGACUGGAACUGGCUACCAGCGAGGAAGAGAAGUGCUUUCUCACUCCAAAUAUUCUAAUAAUGUCUUGAGCCGCCAUCCUCUGAGUCCUGUACUGCCACAGUACCCAAGAAGUGCGAGUGGAUUUCAAGGGAUAAAAGUAUAAUGAGGUGAAACUGAAGAGCAUGUAACUGCUUUCAAGAAGCCUUUUGGAUAUGAAAUAAAG